AUUGAACGCUGGCGGCAGGCCUAACACAUGCAAGUCGAACGGUAACAGGAAGCAGCUUGCUGCUUCGCUGACGAGUGGCGGACGGGUGAGUAAUGUCUGGGAAGCUGCCUGAUGGAGGGGGAUAACUACUGGAAACGGUAGCUAAUACCGCAUAAUGUCGCAAGACCAAAGAGGGGGACCUUCGGGCCUCUUGCCAUCGGAUGUGCCCAGAUGGGAUUAGCUUGUUGGUGGGGUAACGGCUCACCAAGGCGACGAUCCCUAGCUGGUCUGAGAGGAUGACCAGCCACACUGGAACUGAGACACGGUCCAGACUCCUACGGGAGGCAGCAGUGGGGAAUAUUGCACAAUGGGCGCAAGCCUGAUGCAGCCAUGCCGCGUGUAUGAAGAAGGCCUUCGGGUUGUAAAGUACUUUCAGCGAGGAGGAAGGGAGUAAAGUUAAUACCUUUGCUCAUUGACGUUACCCGCAGAAGAAGCACCGGCUAACUCCGUG
rnacentral:rRNA from 1 species